GCUACGUGCUGGUUCAGGGGCAGGAUACUGGCACACAUGAAUGGAACCAAACCGUAAUUAAUGUUAUUAGUUUCUCCUGCGCCUUCUCUGCAAUGAGAAGUCAUAAUGUUUGCUAGAGAAAGGGUUUAAAUAAUUGAUAUGACACCAUUAUAAUUGCGCAGUUGUUAUGGAAUAGUAGCUCCUUAAUGUGGUUAAUGUUCAAAACCAGCUGUUAAUGUGACUCAAACAGCUAAUGAGCCAAUCAGAACCAAGCAGCAGUAGAGAAAGUCUAUGGUGAAAACAGAGCAGCUGCUAGCUUGGGACAGACCACACGGUCUGCCAUGCCCUGCUGUGAGUGGCCUGCCAGAACGCCGCACCUCAUAAUAUGGCUGAAUAUUCCAAGACGUCCCAGAGCCCAAAUCCUCCUUGGCUCGCUCUGCCGCUGCAGCCCCUGCUGAGGAAAACCCCCUCAUUACCAGGCCCUGAAUGUAAAUGCUUCAUUUUCCAUCCCCCCACAAACCCUCUUUGUUCCACGGGCCAUUUGGCUGUUAUAUUUCAGCACUUAAAAGUAAUUAUUCCUAAAUAUGAAUGCUCCCUAACAGACGUCGCCAGACACUCAAGAGAUAUAUUUCUUCCUUCAUCUUUCCCUCUGCCUCAUGGGCAAAAACAAAAGGAGGAGAAAUCAAGGUGUCUGGUGUCUAUACAUCAACACACAUAAGGCAUUCUGCUGCAUGGAUGUGUGUAAAUUCAUACACACACAAAUACCCGAUGAUAUGACUUUUGUCUGUGCAGGUGCAUGCACAGAAAAGAAAAACACACACACAAACUGUUUACUUCACACGCACACACCAUAAAGAGUGUAAGAUGAUCUCCCAUUAAGGAUGAAAACAAACCAGUGAGUGGGAGGUGUCCCCCGAGGAAAUCCAUAGUCACUAUAGUGGAACCAUGGAACCAUGGGAACUGGUUAGCAGAGGCCUGCGGGCCAGCCACGGCCAGACACGGGGGUGUGUAAUGCUACCACACACACACACACACACACACACACACAGAGUGCAGUUUGGACAGAAAAACCAAAGCAUUGGCUUUUAGUCACUUCACCUGUCUAACCAUAACAAUAUAUGAUACUUUGUUGGUUGUCAGCAGUAGCUUGAUUUAUUCAGCGUGGACUUUGAUGACCUUAAUGACGAUGUUUACGAUCAAAGUGCCAAAAUAGCAACAACAAUAAAACUGAUUGUUUCGGAAAGAGUGAGGAUAUAAGAAAGAUGACGACAGACACAUUCUGGUGACGCUUGAGAGGAUGAGGGAAAAGAUGUUUUUAAUGUUGUCGCUCUGUCUAACAGUUUAUGGGUUAGCGGAGGCUGUAGGUCUGUGGUGCUUCAGUGGUUUUCACAGGUUUCUUUACAGCCACAUGAGCGCUUACUGGUGAAAUGUUAUCUAGAUUGGUGGUCCGAUCUCAGUGACAUUUACUCUUUCAACGGACAGAGAGUUAGAAAUGAGUAUCAAACAAGUGGCAUACAUUUAUCUUUAUUUGCUGCUUCCAAAGUAAAGAAAGGAAGGGAUGAUGCAAGCCUUUAAUGGCCAGUCAUGUUCCCACGUGAUCCAAAACAGACUUGAGCAAUCAUCCUCAUUUCACUCACUACGUGCGUACAUGGAUGAAAAAAGUAAGGGAGAUAGAAAGAUAGAAAGUGUGUAUGUGAACCGGCAAUUUAGCGUGUUCCCCUGCUUGAGCAGGAAGUGAACAGAGACCUCGUCCACAGGGAUCCCUGUUUCCCCUUCUUGCACCCCUACCCCUCCACUCAGAACCCCACCGUGAUGGGGGGGGCCUGGCAGAGAGCUACAGUGUGUGGUGUUUGUCCUUUUUGUGUGUGUGUGUGUGUGCGCGCAUGUCAAUUUCCUGUUUUAUAGAGGAAGCAGUGUUCGCAUGUACAGAUCGUUAUUCAGAUUUUCUCUGUGAGGGGAAAAAAAGAAGAGAAGAAAAAAAAAAGUGUGUCAAUUCUCAUGAAUCUGUAUGGGAAACAACUAGCAUUGUUUCUGGGAAGAUGCCCUGCUCUCUUAGUAAAACCAUGUUUUGCUUUACUGGUAAUGUGCAAAUGCAGUGUUUAAAUCAAAAUUUAAAAAGGCAUGUCAUUUCAUUAUUUCCAGUCAAAGAACAAUUCUAAAACACUACCAGCUAUCAUCCCCUCAUAUAAUAUGUACUUUUUUUUUCUGCAACUAACUAAUCAAAUUAAGACCAGAUUGGUUGGACACACAAAGCUGUGGUCAUUAUGCAAUGUCAAGAAUCUAAAGGGCAUCUAAAUGAAGGUUAGCUGUGGUCUCAGCCACAAUAUCCUCCAACCAUGGUCUGGGACACAGGUACACCAUACAGUCGCCUACUGGGUUUCAGCACAAAUAUGUAUAAAGGCCUUCUUGUAGUUAUGACUAAUUUACAUGUCUUGUUUUUUUUAUAUGACUCAGUUCAGCAGAAGAUUGUUUAGAGAGUUUCCCUUUACUUAUCUGCACUUUAAAGAUGCUUCUUUGUAUGACCACCACAUAGUCAGUCAGGGUGUCUUGUGAAAUACUUGGUAUCACAGGUGCAAAAAUAAAAGGAAAAGAAAUACAAACAUAGUACAAGCUACAUAAUCUGAACAUUUGAAAUAACAGUUGAAAUAAUUUCCAAAGUAGGGGGAUGGAAAAAUAAGAAAUUAUAUUUCACUUCCA